rnacentral:rRNA from 1 species
UGGGGAAUUUUGGUCAAUGGGCGGAAGCCUGAACCAGCCAUGCCGCGUGCAGGAAGACGGCCUUCUGGGUUGUAAACUGCUUUUACCAGGGAACAAAUAGGCCAUGCGUGGCAAGUUGAGUGUACCUGGGGAAUAAGCACCGGCUAACUCCGUGCCAGCAGCCGCGGUAAUACGGAGGGUGCAAGCGUUGUCCGGAUUUAUUGGGUUUAAAGGGUGCGUAGGCGGUUUAUUAAGUCAGUGGUGAAAGCCCACAGCUCAACUGUGGAAUUGCCAAUGAAACUGGUAGACUUGAGUACAGUCGAGGUAGGCGGAAUUUAUGGUGUAGCGGUGAAAUGCAUAGAUACCAUGAGGAAUACCAACAGCGAAAGCAGCUUACUGGCCUUGUACUGACGCUGAGGCACGAAAGCGUGGGGAGCAAACAGGAUAAGAUACCCCCGUAGUCC